rnacentral:rRNA from 1 species
UACGGAGGGUGCAAGCGUUAUCCGGAUUCACUGGGUUUAAAGGGUGCGUAGGUGGGUUGGUAAGUCCGUGGUGAAAUCUCCGAGCUUAACUCGGAAACUGCCGUGGAUUACUAUCAAUCUUGAAUACUGUGGAGGUAAGCGGAAUAUGUCAUGUAGCGGUGAAAUGCUUAGAUAUGACAUAGAACACCGAUAGCGGAGGCAGCUUGCUACACACGUCAUUGACACUGAGGCACGAAAGCGUGGGGAUAAACAGG